rnacentral:lncRNA from 1 species
UCGCGAGUAGCUCGCGAGUAGCUCGGUCAACAACUCGACUCGAACUCGGGUUGACCGAGUUCGAGUCGAGUUUCGAGUAGCUCGACUCGUAAUCGAGUCGAGCUUCGAGCCGUAUAUUCCGAGCUCGUGGCUCGUCGAGCUACUCGACGAGCCGGCAUUAAUUAAAUAAAAUAUUUAUAAUUUAAAUAAUAUAUAUUUAUUAUAAUUAUAAAAUGACCAUUAUGGGUAUAAGAUAUAUGGAAUUUACAAUAUUACCUUCUUUAUAAUAAAAUCCUAUAAUGGCAAAAAAGUAAUAACAUAAUUGUAAAAAACACUAAAAAGAAAAAAUGUAAAAAAAAAAAGGAAGCCUUUCUUCCUUCUCUAUGCCGACUGUGCGACUUUCUUCUCUGUUCGAAGAAAGCCUAGCAAAAAAAUUCACUUACCAGCCGGCAGCUGACUCUGACUGAUUUAGAUCUACACCCUCACUCCGUUCGUCGCCGACACCGUUGCUCGCCGCAUCUGUGAGGCUCCAUCGCCAUCGCCAUCGCCUUAACAAGUCCCAAGUCCCAAGUCCCAAAUCGAAGCUGCUCUCUGCCUCUCCGGCCUCCGCCAGUCCGCCGCGCUCUACGUCUCCUGUCGGCUGUGUCCUGCCGUGCUGGUUCAUCGCUGCCGAGUGUCGAAGACGAAGCACCAAGAUCUCACUAGUUCAUCGCUGGUUCAUCACUGCUCAUCUGUGGCUCACUUAGGUAAGUGCUCCUCUGUUUUUGGCUCUGUGUCUCUGGCAUUAAAAUGGGCCAAGAUCGACUAGGAAACUUGUUAUCCUGAAUUGAUAAGGUUUCUGAUCAUUUUUGGGCUAGUUAUUGCUUUAAUUUGAGUGAGAAUCCGGCAAAAUUUUAAUGCCCAUUUACUGUUCGACAAAAUGCUUGAUUGAAAGUUUUAGUUGAAGGGUGAUUGGUCUGCAUUUUUGCACAUGAAAAAUACUGGCCAAGUCGGCCAGUUCACUUCCUCGCAUCUAAGAAUUUUUGGUGUGUUGAUGUCUUACAUUUUUCUGCUCCUUAUGCUUCCGGUCGAGUGAAUUCGAAUUGAUGUUAUGAGAGGGAGUGUUGUGAGUCUCAUUGUUUGUUGGAAUGGUUAGAAAUUGAAGCCAGAUUUCUGGUUGCUGAAUGGUAAUUGAUAUUUGCUCGUUGGAGAAGAUGAUCACUUGUCCAAAAUUGCAAUUUCAGUCCCUCCGUUUUCUUUUUGUUUAGUGAUUUGGUCCUGUCUUUUCCUGAGCUUCAUAUUUGCCUCCAACACCAUCAUAAGUCCCUUAAUUAGGUCCCUGCUUUGUUGCAUUUUCGUCAAAUCGAGUCAAAAAGCUUGAUAAGACUCGACUUGAUAAGGCUCGAUUAAAGAUCGAGCCUUAUCGAGUCGAGUCUCGAGCCUAAGGAAAUUCUUCGAGUCGAUCUUCGAGUAUCGAUUUUCGGGCUCGAUCGAGCUCGAGUCGAGCUCGAGUUUCUGUGUGUAUGAGUCGAGUCGAGCUCGAGUAUAGUGAUACUCGAGCUCGACUCGGCUCGAUUACAUCCCUAGUUGUACCUAAGAUAUAAACUAAUUAAGUACACCUAUAUUAUGUACUCCUCUGUAUUUUUUUUUUUUUUGUAAAUUAUGUUGACUUGUUUCCUUUGCACUAUAUAUGAAAUUUGCAAAAGUUGUACCUGUUUUUUCCUUUAAUAUGGCUCAUUCUUUUUACCCUUUUCCAAAUAUUACUUUAGAAAAUUAUAUCGAAGAAACAACAAUAAUUACAUUAAUGAAUGUGCCUAUUUCAUGCAAUCUUCCAAAAGAUGCUUCCACAAUGUCUUCUUUUCCAAUACAUGUGUUCAAUUCAAAUACUUUUUCUGUUGUUAUGUGAUCAUAGAAAUUUUCAGUAUAAAAUGUGAUUAUUUAAAAAUAAUGGAAAGAUGCACCCUUUUCACCCUUGGGACCAACAAAUUCAAUGUGCCUGCGGUGAGGUCUACUCUGACCAAGAGAUAUGCAUAGAAGUCCAGUGGAGCACAGCACGAGGUCUCAUUUAAUCAUUUCAAUCAACUGCUCUUUUGUUUACUAUUAUUUAUGAUGAUUUGUGGACUAUUCUCUGCUUAUGAAUUGUGACAAACUUGAAUUCUUUAUCUUGAAUUAAGAAACUUUCCGUCUUCUUGUAGCAUUAUUUUCAUUCUUUCCUUUGAAGUUAACAGUAGUCUCUUAUGAUAUAUUUAGUCAUCAAAGCUGCUACUUGUCAGUAGGCCUUUGGUCUUUUCCCAGUUGGAUAAGUGGACGCCAGCUUUUGAAUGGUCCUGGUUGGAUACAUAGCCAUCAUAUUGUCCUAGUAGAAACUUAUAAUAGUUGAAUACUUCCACCUCAAAAGUAACUGCAAAAUAUAUCAGAAAACUCUUUGGUUGUUCGUGUAUCAAUUCACCCUUUAUUUAAUUAUGUUAAAUUGUUAAGAUUCUCC